rnacentral:rRNA from 1 species
ACGUAGGAGACAAGCGUUAUCCGGAUUUACUGGGUGUAAAGCGCGUGCAGGCGGUCGCAUAAGUUGGAUGUGAAAGCUCCUGGCUUAACUGGGAGAGGUCGUUCAAUACUGUGAGACUAGAGGAUGACAGAGGGGAGUGGAAUUCCGAGUGUAGCGGUAAAAUGCAUAGAUAUUCGGAAGAACACCAGUGGCGAAGGCGGCUCUCUGGGUCAUAUCUGACGCUCAGACGCGAAAGCUAGGGUAGCAAACGGGAUUAGAGACCCCGGUAGUCCUAGCCGUAAACGAUGUGAACUUGGCGUUGGUGGGUUCAAAUCCAUCAGUGCCGUAGCAAACGCGAUAAGUUCACCACCUGGGGACUACGGCCGCAAGGUUA